CACGUAGGGUGCGAGCGUUGUCCGGAAUUAUUGGGCGUAAAGAGCUCGUAGGCGGUGUGUCGCGUCGGCCGUGAAAACCUGCAGCUUAACUGUGGGCUUGCGGUCGAUACGGGCAUCACUGGAGUUCGGCAGGGGAGACUGGAAUUCCAGGUGUAGCGGUGAAAUGCGUAGAUAUCUGGAGGAAUACCGGUGGCGAAGGCGGCAUCCUGGACCGACAUUGACGCUGAACGGCGAAAGCUAGGGGAGCAAACGGG
rnacentral:rRNA from 1 species